rnacentral:lncRNA from 1 species
UCACAUAAGACUACCGGUAAAGUAAAAGCCUAUCGCAUUAUAUGUUAAAUCAUUGCAAACUAGAUUUUGCAAAAGGCUUGUUUUUAACAUUAGUGCCCUUGAACCUUUCUCUUUUGUUCCAUCGCACUUUAGCGUGCCAUACCAUCGUACUUUAGCAAAUAAACAACCAUCGCACUUUAGCGUGAGACACCAUCGUACUUUAGCGUAGACCAUCGCAC